rnacentral:rRNA from 1 species
GACGAACCGUGCGAACGUUAUUCGGAAUCACUGGGCUUAAAGCGCGUGUAGGCGGAUCGGAACGUCGGCGCCUGAAAUCCCCCGGCUCAACCGGGGAACGCGGCCCGAAACGACCGGUCUGGAGGGACGUAGGGGGGACUGGAACUUCCGGUGGAGCGGUGAAAUGCGUUGAGAUCGGAAGGAACGCCCGUGGCGAAAGCGAGUCCCUGGACGUCUGCUGACGCUGAGACGCGAAAGCUAGGGGAGCGAACGGG